AGCGUAAGGGUGGCAAGGCGCCCGAGAGUCAGGGCUGGAGCUGAAGGUGGGUGACAGGGAGGGGGCGCCCAGGUGUCAGGACCUGAGGAGAAAGAGUGCGCGUAGCGGGAGGGCCCCGAAGUGUCGGGGCGGGAUCCUGGAAGGAGGGAGAACGUGAGGAGGGAGGAAGGGUCCCUGGGGUGUCAGGGAUGGGGGCCAGGAAAGGGGCAGAGAGCUGGAGGCCCACAAGUGGGGAUAGCGGGGGAGGGAGGUUGGAGCGAGUGGGGAACGCAGGUGGUGUCGAGGGCGGGGACAGGGCGAGGGGAGCGGGGCGUGAGGAAGUUGUGGGAAACCGCGCUGGACGCUGAGAAUGUGCGGAAGGAUCCUGAGGGGAGGACGCGAGACAGCGCGAGGAGAGACGAGGAGAGUUAGGGUUGGCCGGGAGGGUGCGAAGAUGAAGCGACCACUGGAGGCUGUGAGGGUGAAAGGAGCAAGAAUCGUCUAGAGACGGGCUGGGCCGGUGCUGGGGCCAAAGGCUUCUGUCUGUCAGGCCCUUUUUGGCGCUCACUCUAGAAAGAAGAGGCGGAGACGCGAAGAGAUCGGGUUAGAGUCAGAUUUUCGAAGCACGGAGAUGGGUUCAAUGAAAGGACGAGGAAAGACGAGAAACCAGCGGCCGGAGAACGGAGAGUUCAACAAUUUUUAUGAAUUUCUAAUCCAACCUCAUCAUCCUAUGGGAAACAGAAGACCACCAAGAACAGCCAGCUGGUAUCUUGGCAGUAACCUCCUCCAUAUAUUUCCUUGGCCCUCAGCUUACAUCUAGCAAAAUGACUCUACUGGUUCCAGGCUUCACAUGCAUACAACAUGGUGUUGGAGGAACAGAGAUGUUUUCUCUUCCUGGUGUUUUCCCAGACAUUUCUUAGCUGGCAUUUCAAACAAGGGUCCUGAAAUUCACCCUGGUUGGGUCGUGUUCUCCCCUUCCCAUUCCCCAUCCCCACCCUCAACCGAAAAAUGAUGUAAGCAGGGGAAAUUGAAUGUACCAAUGUUUGUUUUUAAACAAGCCACAGACCCCUCCCCAACUCCCCGACUGAAGCUUGAAGUGGGAUCAGCUUUCCCUAAAGUACUUGAGCUUAUGGUAAAGCAUAUAUGUUAUCCAAGUUAAAGUCUGGACGCUGUUAGUAAUGGGAAGGCAAGUAAUGAAUGUUAGCUAUGGAGCCAACAGACAGUGUCCACUCCAUUGUCUUUAAGGCCCAACUAAAGAUAACCUCUUUACCAAUGUCGGUUUAUUUAUUCAUUUAUUUAUUCAUUGAGAUGGAGUCUCACUCUCUCACCCAAGCUGGAGUGCAGUGGAAUGAUCUCAGCUGACUGCAAUUUCUGCCUCCCAGGUUCAAGCAAUCUCCUGCUUCAGCCUCCCAAGUAGCUGGGAUUACAGGCGCACACCACCAUGCCCGGCUAAUUUUUGUAUUUUUAGUAGAGAUAGGGUUUCACCAUGUUGGCCAAGCUGGUCUCGGACACCUGACCUCAAGUGAUCUGCCUGCCUCGGCCCCCAAAGGUGUGAGCCACUGCACCUGGCUACAAUGUCAGUUUCUAUAAAAACUGCCUUGACUUGUUUUGUUUGCUUGUUUUGUUUGUUUGUGUUUUAAUUUUUAUUAUUUUUUUUUAGAGACAGGGUCUCAAUCUGUUGUCUAGGCUUGAGUGCAGUGGUGCAAUCAUAGCUCACUGAAGUGUUGGACUCCCAGGCUCAAGCAGUCCUCCCACCUCAGCCUCCCAAGUAGCUGAGACUACAGGCAUGCACCACCCUGUCUGGCUAAUUUUUUAUUUUUAGUAGAGAUGAGGUCUCACUAUGUUGCCCAAGGUGGCCUCAAACUCCUGGCCUCAAGUACUCCUGUGGCCUUAGCCUCCCAAAGCUCUGGGAUUGCAGGUAUGAGCCGCCAUGCCUGGCCUACUGUAUAUUUUAUGCAUUUGAUAUAAGUCUUGCCUCCCUAAGUAUAUUACAAGUCCCUUGAAGUUAAAGACAUUAGAUUCCUACUCAGUGCUGAGCUGCAACAGAGAGCACUCAAUGAUGGAUAAAAUAGUUUUAGCAUGCAUUCAGCGAUAUAUAUUUAGAAAGUGGAACUAGGUGGUUGAAAAAAGUGUAUAGAUGGGUGGAAGGGAAUAUUACAGCUCUUAGAAUUGUCCUAAGGUGAGAGUAACAAAUUAAGCAAUGAGUCCCUGGGUUCACUCAAGCAACUUCACUCUCUAAAACAAGAGCCCACAGAAUCCCAUUUCUGCUUUCAGAAUGAGUUUGAGGCCAAUAUUAUUUCCAUUUUUUUUCUUUUUCUUUCUUUCUUUUUUUUUUUUUUUUUUUUGAGACGGAGUUUCACUCUUGUUGCCCAGGCUGUUUUGAUCUCGGCUCACUGCAACCUCUGCCCCUGGGUUCAAGCGAUUCUCCUGUCUCAACCUCCCAAGCUGGGAUUACAAGCAUGCGCUACCACACCUGGCUAAUUUUGUAUUUUUAAUAGAGACGGGGUUUCUCUGUGUUGGUCAGGCUGGUCUCAAACUCCCAACCUCAGGUGAUCUGCCCACCUUGGCCCAGCCUCCAAUAUGAUUUUCUAAUAGCUGUGUUUGAUGAUUAUAUUUAUUCCUCCAUCAGUAGCUUUUUUAGCCUUGAAAAUAUCUAUUUAAGUUUCUUAUUUCCUUUGGAUCUAUCAAAGUGUUUUUCCCCAAGUGGCACCUGGGAAAACAUAUUCUAUUCAUUUAUUUUAUAACUGUUCCCUUGACCUCUUUAUUGCUUCCCUAUUACAACCCAAGAUGCUCUUGUAAACCUGACUUAAUAUUGGCAGUCUUCAUCCCUUGCAAAUGGAAGUGAUGACAGACCCAAUACUUUGUGUAAAAAUAUUUUGCUAUUUCUAUACAAAAUAUUUUAUUAAUGGAAACCACAUGUUAUGUAUUUUACAUAUGUUAUGACUUGAAAUUUAUGUUAUGACUUGAAAUUGGGGAAUCUGAUAUGUCUCUAAUAAUAAAGGCUUCACAGUA
rnacentral:lncRNA from 1 species